AACGUAGGUACCGAGCGUUAUCCGGAUUUACUGGGCGUAAAGCGUGUUCAGGCGGCCUGGCAAGUCGGGCAUGAAAUCUCCCGGCUCAACCGGGAGAGGCUGUCCGAUACUGCUGGGCUUGAGGACGGUAGAGGGUGGUGGAAUUCCGCGUGUAGUGGUGAAAUGCGUAGAUAUGCGGAGGAACACCAGUGGCGAAGGCGGCCACCUGGACCGUCCCUGACGCUCAAACACGAAAGCUAGGGUAGCGAACGGG
rnacentral:rRNA from 1 species